UAUGUGAUCGUCUCUCGCAUAUCAAUAAGCGGAGGAAAAGAAAACUAACAAGGAUUCCCCUAGUAACGGCGAGUGAAGCGGGAAGAGCUCAAAUUUGAAAUCUUAAAGGGUUUCCCUUUACGAAUUGUAGUUUAAAGAAGUGUUUUCUGUUGAGGUUUUGGUAAAAGUUCUUUGGAAUAGGACAUCAUAGAGGGUGAGAAUCCCGUAUUUGACCUUUACUUUCAACUUUGUGAUACACUUUCAAAGAGUCGGAUUGUUUGGGAAUGCAGUCCAAAAUGGGUGGUAAAUUUCAUCUAAAGCUAAAUAUUGGCGAGAGACCGAUAGCGAACAAGUACCGUGAGGGAAAGAUGAAAAGAACUUUGAAAAGAGAGUUAAACAGUACGUGAAAUUGUCAAAAGGGAAGCGUUUGACACCAGUGUUGUUUUUCUGAAAAUCAAUUAAAGAACUGUUUAUGCUAAGCUGUUUAGACUUUAUCAGCUAUCUGUUUAGUUUGAGCUUUUCUUUAAUGCACUUUUCAGUUAACAAGUCAACAUCAAUUUCUUUUGCUGUAAAAAAGCUUGAGGAAGGUGGCUUGAGAUUCGUCUUAAGUGUUUAUAGCCUCUUGCCUAUGCAGUCGGAGAGAUUGAGGUCUGCAGCGUAGAUCCUUCGGGGCUAAAUGCAUUUGUGCUAAGUUAUAGCAUUUUAUAGACAACUUGUUGACCUAUGAUUUGUCUUGUAGCUUACUCGCUUAUGUUAUUUUACCUACGCUUAGGAUGUUGAAUCUGUGCGAGACUAC
rnacentral:rRNA from 1 species